rnacentral:rRNA from 1 species
ACGCUCGACACCUACGAGGCAGCAGUCGGGAAUAUUGCGCAAUGGAGGAAACUCUGACGCAGUGACGCCGCGUGCAGGAAGAAGGUUUUCGGAUUGUAAACUGCUUUAGACAGGGAAGAAAGAAAUGACAGUACCUGUAGGAUAAGCUCCGGCUAACUACGUGCCAGAGCCGCGGUAAUCUGAGCGGGCGUGGCGAAGGC